CUAACUGGAGGACCGAACCGACUAAUGUUGAAAAAUUAGCGGAUGACUUGUGGCUGGGGGUGAAAGGCCAAUCAAACCGGGAGAUAGCUGGUUCUCCCCGAAAGCUAUUUAGGUAGCGCCUCGUGAAUUCAUCUUCGGGGGUAGAGCACUGUUUCGGCUAGGGGGUCAUCCCGACUUACCAACCCGAUGCAAACUACGAAUACCGAAGAAUGUUAUCACGGGAGACACACGGCGGGUGCUAACGUCCGUCGUGAAGAGGGAAACAACCCAGACCGCCAGCUAAGGUCCCAAAGUCAUGGUUAAGUGGGAAACGAUGUGGGAAGGCACAGACAGCCAGGAUGUUGGCUUAGAAGCAGCCAUCAUUUAAAGAAAGCGUAAUAGCUCACUGGUCGAGUCGGCCUGCGCGGAAGAUGUAACGGGGCUAAACCAUGCACCGAAGCUGCGGCAGCGACACUAUGUGUUGUUGGGUAGGGGAGCGUUCUGUAAGCCUGCGAAGGUGUGCUGUGAGGCAUGCUGGAGGUAUCAGAAGUGCGAAUGCUGACAUAAGUAACGAUAAAGCGGGUGAAAAGCCCGCUCGCCGGAAGACCAAGGGUUCCUGUCCAACGUUAAUCGGGGCAGGGUGAGUCGACCCCUAAGGCGAGGCCGAAAGGCGUAGUCGAUGGGAAACAGGUUAAUAUUCCUGUACUUGGUGUUACUGCGAAGGGGGGACGGAGAAGGCUAUGUUAGCCGGGCGACGGUUGUCCCGGUUUAAGCAUGUAGGCUGGUUAUCCAGGCAAAUCCGGAUAAUCAAGGCUGAGGUGUGAUGACGAGGCACUACGGUGCUGAAGUAACAAAUGCCCUGCUUCCAGGAAAAGCCUCUAAGCAUCAGGUAACAUCAAAUCGUACCCCAAACCGACACAGGUGGUCAGGUAGAGAAUACCAAGGCGCUUGAGAGAACUCGGGUGAAGGAACUAGGCAAAAUGGUGCCGUAACUUCGGGAGAAGGCACGCUGGUGUGUAGGUGAAGCCCCUGCGGGUGGAGCUGAGACCAGUCGAAGAUACCAGCUGGCUGCAACUGUUUAUUAAAAACACAGCACUGUGCAAACACGAAAGUGGACGUAUACGGUGUGACGCCUGCCCGGUGCCGGAAGGUUAAUUGAUGGG
rnacentral:rRNA from 1 species